AGCAAACGGUCAUUCUAUCGCCAGACAGCAAUGUAGGGAGGAAAGUCCGGGCAGCACGAGCCGCCAUGCUUCCUAACGGGAAGGCACGUUCCUGAAUGGGAAACCGUUGAGGGAAAGUGACAGAGAGCGCCACAGAAAACAAACCGCUUUAUGCUGCAUAAAGCAAGGGUGAAAACGCGGGGUAAGAGCCCACGACGCGACCUGGUGACAGGCGUGAUGGCAAGCCUCAUGGGCUGAAAGACCAAGUAUACCGGCAGUUAAGGGCAGGCUCGCCCGUUGUCGGGGGGUAGGUCGAUAGAGACCGUCGGUGACGGCGGCCCCAGAUUGAUGAUAGAACACGACAGAACCCGGCUUACAGACCUUUGCUAUUU
rnacentral:RNase_P_RNA from 1 species